rnacentral:misc_RNA from 1 species
UUUAUAAAGAAAUUAUGCACAGAAGUUGACUCGCUGCCAUUUUGUAAUUUAGUAGUUCCAACUUUUCUAAUUUUAUUUCAUAUCUUCAUUUUGCGCAACGCUAACUAUAUUCGCCGAUAGAGAAUUUCAUUGGAUUCCAACUUUAGCUUCAUCUUCAUACUCUGAGUUUUUCAUUCCCACCCGGGCAGCCCAUUCAUUUAUUCAACGCGACGUUUAGGAUCAGCGUCAGCUAGAAUUCGAGACUGGACGUUGUAUUUGCCUUUGUACUGGAUUCCCUGCUUGCUGCAGUCUAUCAUCAACGCUUUGUGUUUAAAUGAGUCGCGGAAUGUCGCAGGAAUUAUGUCAAGCUGGCGGAUGUAACCACCCACCCAAAGUAGAGGGGAGAGACUCUUAUAACUAUUUGCAAGGAAAGUUGUUAGAAAGAAUCAAGUGAAGUGAAGUUUAGCGCGUAAGUUUAUGACAGGGAUGAGCUCAUGUGGGAUAUCGUGACCUGCGGGACGAAUCUGGGACUUUCGAAGCAGCGGCGGUGCUAGCAAAAAGUUUGACGGCGCGAAUAUGAAGCGACCAACUCAAGCGAGGAGGCAAAAGCAAAAGCUUUGCGUACAAGAUUUUCAUUAUAAAUUAAAAAUGUAUGAGAAUGGACUAUUAAGAGUCAAGUCAACUUAAGACACAAUUAAUUUUGUGCACAAAGUAAUAGAUAUGCACUUCGAAAGCUAAAUAAGGAUAUUCACCAUAAGGAUUUCAGCUGGAAAGAACGGAGGGUAGCAAUGACAAGAUCGUAGAAGUUUGCUGAAACAGGAUUCGAUGAUAUCAGCUGACAGAAAAUGAUGAUCACACAAGAUUCGGGUUCAUGUAAGCAGAACAGAGUCAGAUUUAUAUGCGCCUUAAGAUGGUCAACUCAAUUUGUUAAGACGGUUAAUGUCAAUCCCAGCCACUUUGAUAGGUUCUUCAAAGUUGUGUCUACCGAGCUCUUUCAAAUUCAGUCUGACAGCAGCCGGGCCAUUGAGGAGAAGGUGACAAGACAAUUCUAUCUCGCCUUCCUCCAAACAGCUUUGAUAAAGAAUAUCUGUGUGUAGCUGAACAGUAGCUAGCCAUGUCACUUAUAACGUUACCUAACACUGCGACGAGGUUGCCUUUCCUAACGAUAGUGCGAAGAACUACUUUCGGUUCACUUUAGGCCAGAAGAAUCUCGCAGUCGAAAAUACUGGUUAUUGGCCAGCUCUUGCCGAGCUCAUCAGCGGUCCAUAGAUCCGGCACUUGAACGUAAGAGGACAUCGAAAAACCGCCUGGAGAAGGUUCCGCCAUGUACCAAGUAUAUUUAACUACGACAUCAAGUCAAGACAUUUCUUUGCUUUCUGUUGUCAUUUGCCAUACUCGAAGAACCGCCUGAGGAUUGGCCCCAAAGGCUAAAAGAUGACUGCCAUCCCAAAUGGUAUAGUUGGUUCUCGCUAAUUCUCAACGCUGUCGGUGUUGUGGUAUAUUCUUAUAUGUACUUUGGCAUACUAAACACACACAAAUUUAAUCUCUUGGUGGGUCUCAUUGGAGUGACGGCUUAUCUUAUAGUUUCCGUACCAGCUCACAUCGCCUUGUGGAUAUUACAUACAAGGCCACAUACGAUGAUGACCUUAAAUUGCAUGGGAACUGCGGUGUCCGUCAUUUGCAGCCCUUUAUCCUACAUUCACUAUCGAAGAAUACUCAACGACGAGCGCAUUCAAGAAAUGGAGGAAAGCGAAUAUGCAGAAAGUAAAAAGAAAUGAUUAAUGUGUUGAAUAAUGGUUCAAAUAUAGAAAUAAAUAUACAGAUUUAAAUUGAUGGAA